AAAUGUUCUGAUGUGGAGGCCUUGUGGUGGGUGCUUUGAAGCAGAAGCUGGUGCCCUUGGUGCAGAUGGUGUGUGUCUGCAGCCUGAGGCAGAGGAACUGGCUUCUAAGCAACUUGUUCCAGCACUGGGGUGUUCCUCUAGAACUCCAGAUGACAUGACAAAUGGCUAGCUCUGGUGCACCAGGAGGCAGAGUAGAUAAUUCUGUGUAAGUCCUUAUUGUGGGCUUAUCAACAGCAGGAGCUGGUGCAUAUGCCUGCAAGACUAUAAAGGAUAACCAAAAAAGAUAUAAUGAAAGAAUGCUAGGGUUAGGGCUGACAUCAGAAGAGAAGCAAAAAAGGGCCACAUUAUCUGCUCUAGAUGGAGAGCCAGUUCCUCAAGGCAGCUUGCCAAAUCAUGUCCCUUUCCUGCUAACUGGCGGAAGAACUGCUGUUUUUGCUGCAGCCGAAGCCACCUGGGUUCGGGAUCCUGGGACCGGGGUCCUCAUUAUGUCUGAAGAUCCUGAGCUGCCAUACAUGUGAUCUCCCCUUUGAAAAGAACCAUGAAAUUCCAAAAGAACUGUGGUUUUCAGAUGACUCAGAUGUCACAAAGACAGUGUGAUUCAGACAGUGGAAUGGAAAAAGAGAGAAGCAUGUAUUUCCAGCCACCUCUUUCUGUGUCUCUGCCCAGGACUUGCCUCACAUUGAGAAUGGUGUUGUGGCCAUCCUCACGAGGUAGAAGAUGGUAUAGCUGAAAGUGAGAGGCAACACAGUGAAACUUAAUGAUGGCUCCCAAAUAGCCUAUGAAAACUGCUUGAUUGCAACAAGAGGUCCUCCAAGAAGUCUGUCUGAAAUUGAUGAAGCUGGAUCAGAGGUGAAGAGCAGAGCAACACUCUCUAGAAAGAUUGGAGACUCUAGGACUCUGGAGAAGAUUUCAUGGAAGUCAAGUCAAUUAUGGUUAUCGGUGGGGGCUUGCUUGGUGGUGAACUGGCCUGUGCUCUUGGCAGAAAGGGUUGGAGCCUUGGGCACAGAAGUGAUUCACCUGUUUUCUGAGAAGGGAAAUAUGGGAAAGGUCUUCUGCAAAUCCCUCUGCAACUGAACCGUGGAAAAAGUCAGACGAGAGGGGGUUAAGAUGAUACCCAUUGCUGUUGUGCAACCGGUUGGAGUCAGCAGUGGCAAGUUACUCAUCACGUUGAAAGAUGGUGGGAAGGUAGAAACUGACCACAUAGCAGCAGCCGUGAGCCUGAAGCCCAGUGCUGAGUUGGCCGAGAACUGGUGGGCUGGAAAUAGGCCCAGAUUUUGGUGGCUUCUGGGUAAAUGUAGAGCUAUACUCAUGCCUAAACAUCUGGGUGGCAGGAGAUGCUGCAUGCUUCUAUGAUAUAAAUCUGGGGAGGAGGCGGUUAGAGCACCAUGAUCAAGCUUUUGUGAGCAGAAGAUUGGCUGGAGAAAAUAUGACUGGAGCUGCUAAGCCGUAUUGGCAUCAGUCAGUGUGCUGGAAUGAUUUGAGCCCUGAUGCUGGCUAUGAAGCUAUUGGCCCACAGUUGGUGUUUUUGCAAAAGCAGCUGUGCAAGACAACCCAAAAUCUGCCAAAGAGCAAUCAGGAGCUGUUAUCUGCUCAGAGAGUGAAACACGGUACGAGGCCUCAGAAAUUACUCUUCCUCCUAGAACCCCUGCAGUUCCAAGGCUCCUCUCCAGGGAGAAGACUACGGCAAAGGUGACAUUUUUGAUCCCAGGGACAAAGUGGUCAUGGGGCUCAUGCUAUAUGGAACAUCUUUAACCGAAUGCCGAUAGCAAGGAAGACCACUGAGGAUGGUGAGCAACUUGAAGAUCUCAAUGAAGUGGCCAAACUAUUCAACAUUCAUGAAA
rnacentral:lncRNA from 1 species